GACGAACGCUGGCGGCGUGCUUAACACAUGCAAGUCGAACGGAAAGGCCCUGCUUUUGUGGGGUGCUCGAGUGGCGAACGGGUGAGUAACACGUGAGUAACCUGCCCUUGACUUUGGGAUAACUUCAGGAAACUGGGGCUAAUACCGGAUAGGAGCUCCUGCUGCAUGGUGGGGGUUGGAAAGUUUCGGCGGUUGGGGAUGGACUCGCGGCUUAUCAGCUUGUUGGUGGGGUAGUGGCUUACCAAGGCUUUGACGGGUAGCCGGCCUGAGAGGGUGACCGGCCACAUUGGGACUGAGAUACGGCCCAGACUCCUACGGGAGGCAGCAGUGGGGAAUAUUGCACAAUGGGCAGAAGCCUGAUGCAGCAACGCCGCGUGCGGGAUGACGGCCUUCGGGUUGUAAACCGCUUUCGCCUGUGACGAAGCGUGAGUGACGGUAAUGGGUAAAGAAGCACCGGCUAACUACGUGCCAGCAGCCGCGGUGAUACGUAGGGUGCGAGCGUUGUCCGGAUUUAUUGGGCGUAAAGGGCUCGUAGGUGGUUGAUCGCGUCGGAAGUGUAAUCUUGGGGCUUAACCCUGAGCGUGCUUUCGAUACGGGUUGACUUGAGGAAGGUAGGGGAGAAUGGAAUUCCUGGUGGAGCGGUGGAAUGCGCAGAUAUCAGGAGGAACACCAGUGGCGAAGGCGGUUCUCUGGGCCUUUCCUGACGCUGAGGAGCGAAAGCGUGGGGAGCGAACAGGCUUAGAUACCCUGGUAGUCCACGCUGUAAACGGUGGGUACUAGGUGUGGGGUCCAUUCCACGGGUUCCGUGCCGUAGCUAACGCUUUAAGUACCCCGCCUGGGGAGUACGGCCGCAAGGCUAAAACUCAAAGGAAUUGACGGGGCCCCGCACAAGCGGCGGAGCAUGCGGAUUAAUUCGAUGCAACGCGUAGAACCUUACCUGGGUUUGACAUGGAUCGGGAGUGCCCAGAGAUGGGUGUGCCUCUUUUGGGGUCGGUUCACAGGUGGUGCAUGGCUGUCGUCAGCUCGUGUCGUGAGAUGUUGGGUUAAGUCCCGCAACGAGCGCAACCCUUGUUCACUGUUGCCAGCACGUUAUGGUGGGGACUCAGUGGAGACCGCCGGGGUCAACUCGGAGGAAGGCGGGGAUGACGUCAAGUCAUCAUGCCCCUUAUGUUCAGGGCUUCACGCAUGCUACAAUGGCUGGUACAGAGAGUGGCGAGCCUGUGAGGGUGAGCGAAUCUCGGAAAGCCGGUCUCAGUUCGGAUUGGGGUCUGCAACUCGACCUCAUGAAGUUGGAGUCGCCAGUAAUCGCAGAUCAGCAACGCUGCGGUGAAUACGUUCCCGGG
rnacentral:rRNA from 1 species